CAGCGGGGGGAAGUGCACAUGACUACAAACGGGCUGUGCUGCGUUGCUGUUUCUUUUUCAAUAACGUGGGAUGAGAGAGAUUCAGCGUGAAGAUGCCAUUGGUCACAAUCCAUGUGAAGAUACGAAGGCUGCGUUGGAUUUGGCUCAAUAUUUUAUUCUGCAUGGGCCGAAGAAGGUUAGUGUUAUCAUCUGUUCUUAACUACCGACAGCUUCCAUAACACUGCGUAGGAAGGGAAAAGGUGUGGAUGAGGGCACUAGUACUGUUGUAAUUCCAUGUUAUCGUAAACUGCUAUCAUUAUAAUAAUUGCUAUAAAA